AGAGUUUGAUCAUGGCUCAGGACGAACGCUGGCGGCGUGCCUAAUACAUGCAAGUCGAACGAGGUCCAUUUCGUGGCAACACGAGAGAAGACCGAGUGGCGAACGGGUGCGUAACACGUGAGCAACCUGCCCCGAAGACCGGGAUAACAGCGGGAAACUGCUGCUAAUACCGGAUGCCCCCACGAACCCGCAUGAGAUCGUGAGGAAAUGGAUUCUGCUUCGGGAGGGGCUCGCGGCCUAUCAGCUUGUUGGUGGGGUAACGGCCUACCAAGGCGACGACGGGUAGCUGGUCUGAGAGGACGAUCAGCCACACUGGGACUGAGACACGGCCCAGACUCCUACGGGAGGCAGCAGUAGGGAAUCUUGCGCAAUGGGCGAAAGCCUGACGCAGCAACGCCGCGUGGGGGAUGAAGGCCUUCGGGUUGUAAACUCCUUUUAGUGGGAACGAAAUUGACGGUACCCACAGAAAAAGCCCCGGCUAACUACGUGCCAGCAGCCGCGGUGAUACGUAGGGGGCGAGCGUUGUCCGGAUUCACUGGGCGUAAAGAGCUCGUAGGCGGCUUAGUAAGUCGGCGUGUUAAAUCUCCAGGCUUAACCUGGAGCCGCACCCGAUACUGCUAUGGCUGGAGUCCGGUAGGGGACCAUGGAAUUCCUGGUGUAGCGGUGAAAUGCGCAGAUAUCAGGAGGAACACCAGUAGCGAAGGCGGUGGUCUGGGCCGGUACUGACGCUGAGGAGCGAAAGCGUGGGGAGCGAACAGGAUUAGAUACCCUAGUAGUCC
rnacentral:rRNA from 1 species